GACGAACGCUGGCGGCGUGCUUAACACAUGCAAGUCGAACGGAAAGGCCCUGCUUUUGUGGGGUGCUCGAGUGGCGAACGGGUGAGUAACACGUGAGUAACCUGCCCUUGACUUUGGGAUAACUUCAGGAAACUGGGGCUAAUACCGGAUAGGAGCUCCUGCUGCAUGGUGGGGGUUGGAAAGUUUCGGCGGUUGGGGAUGGACUCGCGGCUUAUCAGCUUGUUGGUGGGGUAGUGGCUUACCAAGGCUUUGACGGGUAGCCGGCCUGAGAGGGUGACCGGCCACAUUGGGACUGAGAUACGGCACAGACUCAUACGGGAGGCAGCAGUGGGGAAUAUUGCACAAUGGGCGGAAGCCUGAUGCAGCAACGCCGCGUGCGGGAUGACGGCCUUCGGGUUGUAAACCACUUUCGCCUGUGACGAAGCGUGAGUGACGGUAAUGGGUAAAGAAGCACCGGCUAACUACGUG
rnacentral:rRNA from 1 species